rnacentral:rRNA from 1 species
AAAAAGAGGAGUGGCGAACGGGUGAGUAACACGUGGGUAACCUGCCCAUCAGAAGGGGAUAACACUUGGAAACAGGUGCUAAUACCGUAUAACAAUCGAAACCGCAUGGUUUUGAUUUGAAAGGCGCUUUCGGGUGUCACUGAUGGAUGGACCCGCGGUGCAUUAGCUAGUUGGUGAGGUAACGGCUCACCAAGGCCACGAUGCAUAGCCGACCUGAGAGGGUGAUCGGCCACAUUGGGACUGAGACACGGCCCAAACUCCUACGGGAGGCAGCAGUAGGGAAUCUUCGGCAAUGGACGAAAGUCUGACCGAGCAACGCCGCGUGAGUGAAGAAGGUUUUCGGAUCGUAAAACUCUGUUGUUAGAGAAGAACAAGGAUGAGAGUAACUGUUCAUCCCUUGACGGUAUCUAACCAGAAAGCCACGGCUAACUACGUGCCAGCAGCCGCGGUAAUACGUAGGUGGCAAGCGUUGUCCGGAUUUAUUGGGCGUAAAGCGAGCGCAGGCGGUUUCUUAAGUCUGAUGUGAAAGCCCCCGGCUCAACCGGGGAGGGUCAUUGGAAACUGGGAGACUUGAGUGCAGAAGAGGAGAGUGGAAUUCCAUGUGUAGCGGUGAAAUGCGUAGAUAUAUG